CUGAAAUUAGAAAAUGUUGACAUGCUAUGAUUCCGAUUAUUUAUUUAUUGAAAGUAAAUUCAAAUGUUUUGAUUAGCUAAGAGCUGUCGGUGAAGUUGUCAUAUCCGCUCGGUAGCUGCCCAAAUUUGGAGUUUUGACAUCGCCAUGGAAUAUUGUUUUUCAAUCUACCACGUUUGCGUAAUUUCGUGGUAGAUUGAAAAACAAUGUAACAUGCUAUGACGUCACGCUAAUUUAUGCGGCUUAUGCCAAAAGCGGGAAAAUACAAAUGGCUUCCUCAAAGGAAAGGUUCGCCGACCUUGGAGAAGCUGAAAUUUAAGUAUUGCUCGAAGAAAAAGACUCGAAAAACACAGAAAGCUACAAAAGGAAGAAAGUGAUCUUUGAAGAGUGUCUACAAGAAAAGAAGCUUGGCCAUCACACUGUAUUAUUGUUGUUCCAUUUUCAACAGCUUGGCGUCUUCUUGAGUUCGAAAUAAUUACAAAUAAAUAAUAAAACAAUUAUUGAUUCAAUAACUCACCAGCAACUAUUGCAAAGGUUGGGGUCAGAGGAGGAUUGGUCACUAUACCGUGAUACAUCGCGAUUAUUCCGAUUAAUUAUUUAUUAUUGAUUUUCUACGAGCGGGCGCUUAUUGUUCGCUUGAUCUUCACUAUCAAAACAACAAGAGUGAGAAAUAUAGCGGAUUUUGUAAAGCCGAUUCACCACCAUAAAGCUUGAGAUUCACAUAAGAAGAAUCGUUAUUAAUUGUCUCUAAAAGUUGAUGAAAUCUUCGCCGAUUGCAAUAGCCCAGCAUUGAUAGAGUAUAGAGAUACAUUCCAGUUGUGUUCUUAGGGUAUUAAAGUUGUUUGUUUUAAUCCUUAAAGCCAAUACAAAGGCAAUCUAGCUACGCAAUUCUUUAAUUACUUUUUCUAUGAUUCAGAUUUUUAUAGCCAAUGUUGGCAACAAUAUUUGUGCUUUCUAUUUUGAAUAUAUGCAUAUAGAGCUAAAAAAUAGUUUAAGUUAGAGAAGCUUAGACUGUUCAUUUGGUUUGAUCGUACUAUUAAAGUAAUUAACCCAUUGAAUUGCAUCGAGUCACAUUAAUUGCGCCCUACUUUAUUUUUUUACUCUGUCUAACACCAGAUUAUUUUACUCUGUCUAAUGGCAGCUGGCCUAUCUGCCUAUGUGUCUAAUUAACCCAUUGAGUGGCAUUGUGCCUGCAUGCGUCCUACUUUAAUAUUUUGCUCUGUCUAACGCCAGAUAAUUUUACUUGUCAAGGGGAGAGCACUGGCACUUAAAGGGAAUUAAACAGAAGAUUGUUUUCAUAUGUUGCAGUUCUCCGACCUCAGUGAUCUCAGGCGAGAUGGAACAGGAUAAUCUCUUAUCUUUGAGAAUGCUAUUUUGUGGGAUUUCGAUAUUCUGCCAUCGCCACCUUCUCAAACAAUUCAACCUCGAGAUCCAGAUACUAUUAAGGUUACAGGACACCCUUUUUGGCGUUUUGCGGAAAAUCGCUACUGCGCGCUCAAAAUCAGUCCGAUUUUCAUCAAAUUUUCACCAAAUGUUCGCCAGUGCAUGCAAAAUAUGGUAAAGUUAUAAAAUUAACAAACAAUAAAAUAAUGUAAGAAUUAUUCAGAAAAAUCGUAAAUCGCGGUACCGUUACGCUUUCGAGUUGUGCUCCUGCUGGUUUUAAGUUAUAUAUAUGAAAAUAUCAUUUUUAAACAGUAAAAUAGUUGUUCUAAAAAAUUGUGUUCGGAAUUUUUUUGUUUAUUUCGUAAUUCCACUGAUAUGGCGAUUUCUUUGACGACUGCAAUAUAUUUCUGAAUUGUUUUUAGUGAAUUGCUCUUUAUUAUUAAAAUAUCCAGAAUUAGAACAAAGCCGAACACAAUUUUGAAACUGACGUCUUCAGCUAUCUCCUGUGAAAAUUUGAGAGAAAUUCGUUAAAACCCAUGGCCAGAAAUCGAGGUCAGCCAGCGGAUUGACCUGUGGGCUCAAAAUCUCAAAAAUUCAAAAUGGCGGUUCGAUUCUAUAAGGAGCUAUUGCAGAAUAUACCCGUCCACUUCUAAAUACUUCACUUGUUAUCAUAACACGCGCGCAAUAACGCAAAAUAUAGCUUACCCACGCUUUAUAAUAGCGUGAGUAUACAAUUAUUACGUAACCAUUUUCACUUCGUAUCAUCUUAAUAUCAUGAUAACAAGUGAGGUCUUCAAAAGUAGACGGGUAUUCUGCAAUCGCUCCUAUGCAAAACACUAUGUAUAGCUGUAAUCAAACAAAAAUAAACGUAGACACUAAUACUGGCAACAGUAAUCCCCUUUAUUAUUGAAAUCUCAGAACGAAUCUUCGCCAACACUAACCAAAUAUAUUAAAUUUGCCGCGCUUGUUUUUAUGAAUAUACGAGCAAAUUUAAAAAUAAUACAGCGGUAUAGGCCCUGGUAACCUAGUAACAACUCAAAACAACUCAGGAAUGUAAAAUGGCAGCAAGAAGCGAAGUGGCGAGCAUAUUUUGCUUGUUUAUGCUAGUUUAGCGACUAUUCCCCAGCACUGGGUGGACUAAAUUUUGACGAAUCUGCGGCAUGAAAAUGCUAUGUUUCAAGGCGUUCGGGAACAGGUUUAAGCAAGCCGUUGAGCCUUUAGACGCUGCUAAAAGGAAAGUAUUGUCCACCUCGAAUAUGCGUAGACGUGGGACCGUUCGAAAAGUCGACCAUAUGUGGCCAAAUUUACGUGUUGGAAAACCUCACUUCGGCAAAUCAUGUCGAUUUAUUAGGCGUUUAUAUACAAAGCGAGAAGUAGAAAUAUAAAUCUCUCGGGAACAUAUCUACGCUACUCGGAUUGUCGCUAGAUUUCUGGGAGUUAAUUUAAUACUGGCCUUAUUUGAUAAAUGUUUAGACGUGGGACCGUGUAAUUUCUUUACGGGAUCGAACACAAAAUGCGUAUAUUGAAUUUUCUCUUAUCAAAUCUAUAUAACGCCACCAUUUUGAAUUUAUUUGGUGUAAGCUUAACGCGCAUGCUUGUCAGCCAUGUUGUCCUUCAUUUCUGGCCAUGCCGCAGGAGCACAACUCGUUUGAAAAUCAGUAAUUGCCGUAAAAUUCUUCGGGAGAAAAUUAAAUUUGAAAAUUACAUUUUCAAUGUUUUUCCCAUUGCAAGCGAAAUGUAUUUUAUUAAAUAACUCUGCGAGUUUUCAACAUUUUUCGUUCAAACUUGGUCAGGUAGUAGAACUAGUCUAAUGCUUUCAUGGAGACCAAUAAAAAAAUAUUAGGCAAAAUUAACACUCAAAGGUGUUCUGUAACCUUAAUGAAGAGUUGGACAGUGUGCUGUCACCAAUAAAUUUACAAGGGCAAACUGGAUGUAACAGUGAUCUACAACCAAUAAAUUCUGUGUGCUUGGUGGGUAUUACUCUACAGUGCUGCAUUACUGAUUGUGGAAAGUGGACCAUGGGACAGAGAUGAUCCAAGAAACAAUUAUAACAGUGACAUAGAUUACUAGAAUAUUGUAAAUUGAUGUUUGUGAUGUUAUUCUGAGUGUGCAUCCAGACCCAGGCAAGCUUUGGGAUAUUAGUCCAAUGCUCUACCAACUGAGCUCGGCUCGGUGUGGAUGCACACUCAGAGUCAAAUCAUGCACAAACAUAUUCACCUGAGUAAAUAACACCAACACACACACACACACACACACACACAAAAGUAGUAUAUUGUAAAUUGUUAUUUUAUUUUAUUUUAUUUUAUUAUGGAUCCCUACAUAUUUAUUUUAUUAUGGAUCCCUACAAUUAUAAUAGUGACAUAGAUUACUAGAAUAAUGUAAAUUGUAGUGAUUUUAUUUUAUUAUGGACAAAAUGUAUCCAGAUCCAUGGAUCUGUUUUGGCAAUAAAUAUGAACUUGAUCAAAGCUUUAUUUUCCUCAAAGGCCAUUUAUGUUUUUUCACUGGUG